AUAAUCCUUCAGGGCAGGGUGAAAUUCCCUACCGGCGGUGAUGAAACAGAUGACGCAUCAGCGUAGCUAGUUUCUCAGUCCGCUACCCGGACCGCAAUCAAUGCGGACGGUGGACCUGGUGCAAUUCCGGGACCGACAGUAUAGUCUGGAUGGAAGAAGGAGAGU
rnacentral:ncRNA from 1 species